rnacentral:lncRNA from 1 species
GGGGGGUGUACUUUGCUAACAAACCUUCCCCUUGGGAAACGAUUUAAAUGGGAAAGUGUUGGGGUAAAUAGUGUUGUGGUGAGAGUUACUGACUAUACCGGCUGGGGGUCACGAAGUGCAAGCGGCUCGGGCUGGCUGAUCUAUUGGUUCUCUCUGUAUUUAAAACAAAGGAUAUUUGUGGUGGCUGGAUGGGCUGGGCGGCUCGGAUGGCUCAGGCCGGUGUUACGUUUUGGACCCUACCAUUAUUUGUCAGUGUCAUGUGGAUGCAUUUGGAAAUGCGUGCACAUGGAGGUGUGUACGGGGGAUGGACAUGUGUCUUGGCGGAUGGAUGUUUGUCUGCUUGUCCGCACGCAUGGACAUGGGCUCAGUAGGACCGAGGGUAACGUAGCUCCUUACUUAGCAUUGUAAAAUCUAAAUAGCUCUGCAGAUGUGAUGGAAACACAGCAUAUCCUGGUCUGGCGUAUUUGUCUGAUCCUGGCCCUCUUGCCCCACCCACACCAAUGCCUGUCAGUGCAUUUCCAGAACAAGGGUCUCCUUUAUGUGGCUCCGGGGAGAGAGCUGGUCCUGCAGACCCAGUUCCAGAUUACACCAACAGAGAAGAUCAUCAUGGUGAUUUGGGACCGCCAGACUGAGAAGGGUCAGGGACAGGUCAGGCUGGCCAAUCACCAAGAUGCACCUGGCAAUCCUCUAGACCAGAAGGAGGCCUCAUUUAGGGUGGAGAAUAUAAGUUCAUCUGACUAUGGAAUGUACACCAUCACUGUGACUGACCAGAUGGGGAACGAGCAAUCAGCAAAUAUACUUGUUAGAGAGAUUGUUGCUGCUCCUGUAGCGUCUUUGUCGCUCCAGUGUGAGGUGGCCAAUGACAGGGCACAGUGGGACAGCCCAGUGUUUUCCUGGUUGGUGGAUGGGGUAGAGCUGUCCAAUCAGACAGACAAUCUCUCUGCAGAUGGCAGGAGACUCUACGUGUCCGGAAUGAAGGGCCACAACUACACCUGUGUUGUCAACAGCAGUCUGGGGACAAGUGUCACAUACUACGUCACUGAUUCUCCUACACCAUCCCAAAGUAUCCAAUCCUGUAACACUCUGUGUGGUGUAUUACUGGGCUUCAUCAUAGCGAUUCUAAUCACAUGUGGAUAUCUCUACUGGAAAUGCAGACAGCGGAGGACAUGACCUUAGGAGGGCCAUCGCGUUCCGUUAUCAGUCUUAUUUAUGGCACUUAUUUAUGGCACUUAUUAAUGGCACGCUCACACAAGUCUUUAAUAUUCUAUUGCAAUAAGUCACACUACCAGACCAAAUAUGAUUCCUAUCAAGAGCUGUGGCCCUAUUCACCAUCACUAAAAUAUAUUUAUAUGCCUAUUUAUCAAAUUAAAAUUGUAUUGGUCACAUACAUAUAUUUAGCAGAUGUUAUUGCGGGUAUAGUGAAAUGCUUGUUAUUGGUGUAUUACAUUUUACAUUUACGUCAUUUAGCAGACGCUCUUAUCCAGUGCGACUUACAAAUUGUAUUUCUAUGCCUAUUUGUGGUAUUUAUUGAUGCAGUGUCCACACGUAUAUUUUGACUAAUUAUAUCUUUGUAUCUUUUUUUUUGAAAGUACUCUAUGCCAUCACAUUUACAUUGUGCACAUGUACAAAUGAACCUAAACUUAAACCUACUUUUGUGAUGAUAUAAAGCAAAUGGGAAAAAAUUCACAUUAUUGUGACGGAGCAUGUGUGGAUUUAACCUAUUUCAUAACCUGAUAGGAAAUCUUUGAAAGCGUCCACUUUGCUACACUUCCAUAGGAGACAGUGAAGAGACAUAGAAACACAGCAGUCUGGAUGAGUGAGGAAAAGCACAGCACCACCUAUUUAAUAGCGCCAUCCACUGGCUUGUUUUAGAAAUUCCUCUAUUCAAAAUAUCACUUCAAUUUGUAACUUUGGUUUUAGAAGUGGGGGGGGGGAUAAAAAAUCCAAACAUCCUACCUGACCGCUCGGAGUCGUCUGCAUGGUCCUAAAGAACACCGUUGCCUCGUUUUGUAUGACAUUCUAAUGAUAAAACUGGGGGGGGACAAAAAAAUGGAUGUCAUUGUCAUUCACAGAGAACUUGAAUUGGAAAUACUGUACCGUAUUGUUAUUUGUUUUUGCAAAUGUAGAUAAGAUGAUUUAAUUAAAGUCGCACUCCAGUCUCCUUUUCACCUGAUUUACUUAACAAAAGGCACUUGGUGGUCCAGGUAUGUUCAUGACAUAGCACAAGUGGAGGGUGGGCCUUUCUGCAUUUGUUCUCUAUUGCUUCUCUAUUGUUUCUGCAAGCAAUAGCAGAGACCGAUGACAUUAGAGGGCUAUCAGCCCAACUCCUUGAAUGGCCUACUCCAAGCACGAACCACCACAUUUAACCUUGGCAAGGUGACGGGGAAUAUGGUAGAAUACAAAUAGAGUAGUAGUUCCCUCUGCAAGGCAAUCAAACAGGCAAAACGUCAAUAUCGAGACAAAGUUGACUCGCAAUUCAACAGCUCAGACAUGACACAUAUGUGGCAGGGUUUACAGACAAUCACUGACUACAAAAGGAAAACCAGCCAAGUCGCUGAGACCGCCGUCUUGCUGCCAGACAAGCUAAACACAUUCUUUGCCCGCUUUGAGGACAACACAGUGCCACCGACGCGGCCAGGUACCAAGGACCGUCGGAUCGCCAUGGACGACGUGAGUAAGACAUUUAAACGUGUUAAUCCUCGCAAGGCUGCCAGCCCAGACGGCAUCCCUAGCUGCGUCCUCAGAGCAUGCGCAGACCAGCUGGCUGGUGUGUUAACGGACAUACUCUCCCUAUCCCAGUCUGCUGUCCCCACAUGCUUCAAGAUGGCCACCAUUGUUCCUGUACCCAAGAAUGCAAAGGUAACUGAACUAAUUGAUUAUCACCCCAUAGCACUCACUUCUGUCAUCAUGAAGUGCUUUGACAGGCUAAUCAAGGAUCAUAUCACCUCCACCUUACCUGUCAACCUAGACCCACUUCAAUUUGCUUACCGCCCCAAUAGGUCAACAGACAAUGCAAUUGCCAUCACACUGCCCUAUCCCAUCUGGACAAGAGGAAUACCUAUGUAAGAAUGCUGUUCAUUGACUAUAGCUCAGCAUUCAACACCAUAGUACCCUCCAAGAUCAUCAUUAAGCUCGAGGCCAUGGGUCUCAACCCCGCCCUGUGGAAUUGGG